GUAGGGAAAAGAGUCGCUCAGAGGAGCGGGCAUCUGAGAUUGGCAUUCAGAGGAAUGGCCAACCCUUCGCGCAAGAGGCACCACGAGAACAGGCAAGCUUGGAAGAAUUUGGAGCGCACAAAGGUUGGGAUGGCUGAGUUUGAGCUACGGCUCAACGUUGACAACUUUACUUGAUGGUGCUCAAGGCAAGCGAGGCGCUUGGCAAAGGACGAGACCAUGCAAAGUGGAAUGAGUUGCUCAGCGACCGAAAGAGUUGUGCAAAGCUCACAGAGGUGAGGGGAAUUGCUAACUCGAAGAAUUCGGUACUCAUGCAUGGGCUUGUAUGCGGACGAUGGAUUGUUCGUGGCCAUCCCAAGGCGGUCGAGACUCGGCGCCAUGGAGCAUUGAAACUUUCUCUUCGACAUGCGAAGGAUACGUCCGGAGGAGGCUGAAGUGUGCAACGAGUUCAGCAUGUUGCUAGGCCUUGAGGGGUGCAGCGGUGGCUGUAUUGACGUGGAGGCGCAAUCUAGUAAGUGCGUUUGCAAGAGGCAGAACAAUGCACAGUUUGUUCAGCAGAUCGGAGUAGUCCAAGGGGAUGGUGGUCUCCGAAACGAAGAGAGAUGUUGCUCCAACGGGACAGUUAUCCAGGAGGGAUAAGUCUCAGCUCUCCAGAGGGAGAAUCAUGUGAGACGGACUUCACAUGUUGAGGAGGAGUACCUCACAAACAACAACUCCACGAAGCUCGAUGGACUGAGCAAGCGGCGAGGAGUCGUCGCAUGAUCUCGCUUGAGAGAAUGCAUUGGUGGAUGCAUUGCGAGAUCAAGUGGGGGAGCGACCCAAAGCAACUCAAAUGGAGGCACACUUGGAGUCGAUAUGGAGAUCGGACUCAAGGGAGGGCUGACCCGUGGAAUGGUGGGCGCGAGGGCCACCAUCGACUCAAUGCAGAAACGAGGAGCGGAGCAACUUGGGUGUAACUUGGCGAAGUACCCAAGCCGCAUGAAGGGAGCCAGCAUAGAAGUUGGAACAUGGAGCAGAGGCACAGCGCUUUCCCUAGACAGAGGUCAAGGACAUGAACUCUUGCAGAGGCAGGAGUAGAAUCAUGCUGUUCCCUGGGUCCUUCAUUCUGACAGAGCGGACUCAUCUUGCAUGGUGCCAAAGACGAAGGGAGCUUCGGGGCACAUGCACCUUAUCUCGGAGGAGCAUUCGAUGGAGGAACUAAGGCGACUCAAUUUGCGGAGGCGAAGUUGGGUACAGAAGGUCUUAGCACGGGGCAAGAGGACGCAGAGGCGGGUACUCUUGAAGAAUAUGCCAUAGUGUUGCCAUUCGAGUUGCUAUGAAGGAAGCGGUGCGCAGUGGAGAUUGUGCUGGUAGGGGCAGAGGCCCAGGAUCCAGACAAUGGUGCACAAAUUACAUUGAAGUCGGUGGACUUCGGGAGCUACUAGGCGACGGACUGUCCUAGAGCGGUGCUUCAUCUAGGUGUGACCCAAGAGUGGGUGGAUGAAGGUCGAUUGCCAAAGGAGCGAACAAAAUCGAAGGUGGAGGAGACCCUGCGAUGUAUUGGCAGAGGCCACACAUGGAGGGUUCACAAUUCGAGUUUAUUCCACAAGGAUCAGAAUGCAAUGGAGAUGUCACCAGGAGGCGACAUGGUGCAGCGGAUCGUGGUGGAACAGUUUGUGGCAAUGCGACACACACGACAUAGUCCCGUGAGGGAUGAGAUCAUAUGGAGGUAUGAUCGGGAGCUACUGGGAGCUUCGCUUUGGUGAACAACACGACGGCAAGAAGGGCUAUGGAUUCAAGGAGUGAAGGCCAUGGUACCGCAGAGGCGGGUCUUCCGGGCGUGCACCGAAUUUUGCAUCGGAUGAAAACCUUGGUCAUCAGCAUAUGGGGGCUGGGUUCCACCAAGGGAAAAGUUCGAAUGCAAGUACCAGUGAGUCCCAUGAGAGGGACUUGAUCAUGCAGAGGUAUGAUCGAAGCAGCUGGAGAGUUGGACUGCUCCAGAGCUCAUAUUCGCUUAAGGGAGCCCGACAAGUCAGAGGACAAGGUCGAGUAAGCGAACGUUGCUACCAAGGAAGCUAAGGAGAACAGAAUCGGUGCAAACCCUACAAUGUGAUGGCAGAGGCCAUGCAUGGGAGUUGCAGUCUGUCUUUCCAUCGACCAAACAGACUGCUUGGAGAACACAGAGGUGUUGAAGCAGGAGGUCGAAAGGGGCGAGGAAGCGACGACGAGUCCAGAGGGACUUAGCUACCCAAAAUCAAGCAUCAGUUAGAAUGGAGGUGGACUCAGAGGAGUGCCACGGAGACAUCUCUACUGAUUGUGAAGGAAAGGGAUACAGAGGCGAGGCGACGGAUAGUAGGGCCAUGGGCAUGGCAGCGCCAUGGUACCGCAGAGGCGGGACUUCCGUGCAAGUCAUUGAUCCCUUGCUCUCACGGAGGGAGAGCGCUUGGUCGUGAAAGGGGCCGAGGAGGUGGAGCAUGCAGAGGCAAUCUCCAAGUACCGAGACAAGGCUGAAGGGCAGAGGCCAAGAAACUUCGUAAGACCGGUGUCAACAAGUUUCUCAUCAAGAUAGCCGUAAGUGAAGGACUUCGGGUCAUGCAAGAGUGCACGACCAAGGAACGAAGCAGGCAGUACGCGGUGCUGUACCUUUGCUACUCAGUGGAGUAGGCGGCAGGGUUGAUGGAGAAGACGGUACAAUCCCAGAGGCGACCUCAUCUAUCAGAGAAUUACUCCAAGUUGGGGUGAAAACUUCCUGCAUUCCAGAAGUUCAAUGGCAUUGAGAAGGUGAAUCACAGUAGCUAACUCAACGCAAGGAGUGCAAACACUUCAAGUGCUUCAGAAGUGUGAGCAAAGAGCAGGCGAAGGCCAGUAACCAGCUCGAUGCAUGAAGUACAACCUCGAGGAGGCGGGCGAAGUCAAGUAACCUUUGCCUUCUCAACUCUUAAGAGAAUGGGCGAAACCGAGUACCCCAAUUCUCUUAUCUAUCCAGCAGAGGAGCUCUGCACAAGUUCAAAGACCCUUCGAAGAGAAUGGAAGAUAAUAGUUGUCAAAUCCUCACCAACGGUGAUCAGUGCUACUGAGAGUAGAUUGUCCGCCUCAUUUCCCAACGAAAUGCCAAUCGAAAGCGGAAGUGAUGCGAACCUACUUGGAUGUGACAACUAAGUGAAAGAAGAGUCAAUGAGCAGAUUUUGUGGAGGAAGGACCCAAAACUUCAGAAGUUUGCGAGGCGAUGCUCGUUAAAGCUCCAACAAGCAUCCACCCAGUUCAAGCAGCAUGUGGAAAUUUUGAGAGACUGGCGCACUAAGGAUGGUCUUUUCCUUCAUUUGGUGGAUCCGCAGGAAUCAACGAGGAUCAAUACAACUCAGCCAACCCCACACCAGAGUCAGAGUCAUUGGCGAGUUGAAGCAGCAUGGCGGAUCAAAGGUUCGACUACUCAGAAACAGCAACGGAGAGCAGCUGGGAGCCAGGAGGCGCAUUGCAGCUGGAGCGGAAGAUUGAAGACUCAGCAAAGGCGAAUAGUUGCAGUGUUCACAAAGGCUUCGACGAGGACGUCGAAGGGAUAAGUGGGGGAGAAUGUAACGGACAAACUUCUAAACAAGAUGUUGGAUGUAAUGCUUAUGUCUGUCCGUUGUCUUUUGGCAUGUUCAUGCCUUGUACAGAAUGUAAAGGGGCGGCCGAAGGCUUAAUAGUCCCAUUUUAGUUGGGUUGGUGGCCUCUUUAGGCUUGUAAAUAAAGGUUGUGUCGUGUGGACACGUUCGAGAGCUUUUCGGUCUGUAAUGGACCAUUUUACCCUUUGUUGUGCAACUAUUCAGAGCUUGUAAAGUCUGUUUGUAAUUUGCAUUGUCUAUGAAGUGUUUUUCGGACAUGUUUGCUUGUGGAUCCCGAUUGAGGCGUUCUCUUUAACCCGUUCUCUCUUUUGUUGGUCCUAAGGGACAAUGGGAGGCUUCGGGGAGGCUGACCUUUGCGGACGGACGCGCGAGGGUGCCGCACGCCUUAGGCAAAACCAGCUAAGGUCGUGACAGCCUGGUACAAGCGGUACAUACCGGUCCGAUGAUAUAUCGGUACGCGGACCGCUCGCUACUAGAUGGAAGGUGCUACAGUGCUACACUGUAGCAUUGCUAUAGUGCUACAGUAAGGGGAAGAAAUAUUUAAAACCGCUCGGUAACAGUGAUACAGUGCUCCAACGGUCAAAUUGACCGUUGGAACCCUUUCUCAUGGUAUUUAAACCCUUCUUCUCUCCUAUUUCACUUCAUUACAUUCUCAUACUCUAUUAAACUAUCUCAAAUUCUUUUUUUCUCAUAUUUGUGCACUCCUAAACUCUACAAAACAAUGAUUUGUGAAUUGAAUCGAGGCUAUUUUGGGAAGAUUAAGAGGAAGAACUUUCUAAUUAAGAUGUAUGUUUACAUAAGGACAAUUCGUAAUGGACUGAAAUACGAACAUUGUACAAGAUAUUCUUCAAAGCUCGAAAAAGUUAUGUGAUACUAUUCUUAUCUAAUUUACAUUGAUUUUGCUAAACUUAUGCUAUUAUUAUAUUUAUUUCUAACUUAAAAACCCUAUCCUAACUUUUUUUUUUUAGUUUCAGGUAUUUUCGGAGGGUUAUACACCUAAAUUAGGUGUAUCGCUUGGUACGCUCUGGCGUACCGCUUGGUACGCUCUGGCAUACCGCUCGGUACAUGGUACCGUACCAUACCGAGUCAAUCUCGAAACACUAGUACGAUACGGUAUUGCAUACCUUGCCAAUAAGUACAUAACCUUACACCAAUAAACACAGCCCUUAGGUAACCUCGUUGUGAUGCCAAGUUCUGAGUGGAUUCUUGCUCUCCUAUUAGUUGAUCUCUUGUUGUUUUCUUUCAUUUUUUUUUUUCUGUCCUUUUGCUAGAAAAAGGUACAAAGAUGUUAGUCCUUCAUUCAUUGACCCAACAACAACAAUUUGAGUUCUUAUCACUACGUUUUGAGAACACACCUCAAGGAUUCAGGAUCUACAGUUUAAAAUGGUCAAAAAGACUUAGGGUGAUUUUAGUGGGAUAUCAGAGCUAUUUAGUCAAAUUCAUCUUGAAUUUGGUUUAUGGCUUGUUGUUUUGUUGAUUAGAAGAGUUAGCAUGUACAGCUUCUUUUGGACCAGUAUUUAAUCUUAACCUAAUAUGCAGUCAAAUAUAUAAUUAAGGAUGAUUAAACAGAUGUUCAAACAUUUUUCUGGUGGUGGCUGAUUGGGGAAGAUGAUGAUCUUUACAAACUUGACAUAACAUAAGUUUAUGGAACUUCAAAGCCACUGAAGAACACAUGAUUUGGUGUAAUUGAUCAAAAGGUCUGAGAGUGAAUGGAGAUGUUGAACUCCCAACACACAAUGCUUGUGCUAUAGAGUGAAGUUAAUUUUAAACGUGCAAAUUAUAAUAGCCUUUGGGUCAUCUUAAUUGUUGCCAGGACUUGAACAGCAAUAGGCAAACAUCUCAAAUAUCAUGUUCAACAUUUUUUCUGCAAUUGAAUGUCAUGAUAAUUUUUAAAUUUAUCUGCGAAAGAACAUCUAUGAGGCUAAAUUUAAGAAUUUAUCAUCUUUAUAUCAAAGAUAGUAUGGUUGACAACUUUCAAGCUAUAUUGUCUCGAUCAAUUUUGAGAAGUUGGGACACAAGGUUUAGACAUGCAUUAUUUGAAAAAACUAGGUUUUGAACUUUGUUGAAAAAUACUGCAUAUAUAAGAAGUAUGAUGGAUAUAAUGUGCUUCUUAUAUUGUUUGUAGUCAUAGGAAAGUUGUUUUCCGUUUAACUUGGGUUGAAUAAUUUCUCUAUGAAAGUUUCAGAUACAAGUUUAUCAAUCUGGCUUCUCUGUUUUUCCAUGAUGUGUUUUUCAUGAUUAGAGCCACAUUUAGUGAGCACCAUCAUCAUUACUACGGUAUCCAAGCCUUGUCCCUAAAAAAGGGGUAAAAAGUAAUAAUAUAAGUUGGGAAGGCUAAUCACGUGGCACAAUAGAUGAUAUCCCAUCUACAUAAAAGAAUGACCAAGUAAAACAAAGACACGAGCAAGGUUCGCCUUACCAUACCGUACCGGCGUUUUGACCUGGGCUCAGUACGGUACGGUACGAUAUACCGAGCGAUACACCUGAUUUCACAGAUUUAACCCUCCGAAAAUACCUGAAAAUUAAAAAAAAAGUUAGGAUAGGGUUUUCAAGUUACAAAUAAAUAUAGUAAUAGUAUAAGUUUAGCAAAAUCAAUGUAAAUUAGGUAAGAAUAGUAUCGCAUAUCUUUUUCGGGCUUUGAGGUAGUCUUGUUCGAGGUUCGUAUUUCAGCCCGUUAUAGAUUGAAAUAUCUACAGAAAAAUCAGUUGAAUUGUUAGACUAUUUUGUUACAAUAUAAACUCUAAAAUUCAAAUGAAUUAAAUAAUCACAUAUGUAGAUAUACCUUAUUGUUGAUUCUACCACCAAAACGAACGACGGGUCUCCACGGAUGGUGGAUCGGGGUCCUCGAUCCGAUACAUCUGCAUAUCAAUAUGAUACGUUUGUUGGACCCAAUCAUGAAAUUGAUCCCAUAACAUAGUGUAUUGAUACACCGUAUGUCAUUGAUGCAUCAAUGUGGUGCUGAUUGUAGACUGAUCGUCAUGAAUCAUAUUUGUUCGAGGCAGCUCUUGAGGCAUAUAUUGGUGAAUGUCAAAACUUCUACUUUCGCUACUGAUCUGCUGUUCUGUAUCAUAUUGUUGCUCAGAGAAGGAUGACCAACUAUCACCAUACUGUUGUUGCUCGUAUGAUUUUCCAUAAUACGAUGGUUGUGAAUACGAUGAGCCUCUUUCUAUGUCUAUAUCAUGUAUGCUAUGUCGCAUUUGUUCAUAUUCAUCCACUGCCUUCCCCUUCCCCUUCCCCUUCCGCGUAUAAACUUGACCAGUACCUUGUCGAGUUCCAUGAUCUGAAUCUUGAGUGGCAUGUGUAAAAUAUUGCUCCUCAGUCUAUUCACCACCCUGAAGUUGUGUAGACGAGACCAACGACUGCCCGACAUCACCGCCAUCAUCUGUCGAGGCACUACUGUCCGUGUUGCUGUCAUGUCUCUAGACUGAGCGAGAAAGAGAAUGUGAUUGUGAAGGUGUCUCGUCGCCCGACUCGAUUUUUUCCAACGAUGCAACUGAUGCUACUGCCUUCCCCUUUGCCUUUGCACAUUGGGCGGACGAGUGUGACCGUUGGGUGUCGGUAGUUCACCAUGGAGUCUACCUCAUGCUACUAGUUUGGCCUAACUGAGAAGGAGCAGUUGGUUGCCUCAUGCUGGUUGACCUCUGGUUUCCACUACCACUGCCAUGCUCCAAUUGUGAGUCAGGUCGUCAAUGCCUCAUUGCUUCAUCGACCGUAUACUGAUGUUCCAAUGAUGCACGAAUCCCAGCUGUGAGAUCCGGGUCGACUUGAUCGUCGCAACCCUCAUAUUGAUCAUAAACUGGUUUCUGUGUAGCCCUAUGAUAUUCUUUCUCAACUCUUGCCUUUUUUUUUAAUGUAUCUUCCUUUGCUUGUUUAAGCAUGCUUUGAAAUAAUUUACGGAUCUUCGUUAGAACAUUCUUGCAUUUUGCAAUAUCAGGAUACCCACCAGUCAAAUGCAUUUUCACCCGAGUUAUUCCUUCACCCUUGUCAAUAUAGUCACAAUAAAUACAUUGACAAUGACGACGGUUUCUAUCUAGCUUUUGGGCAUGAACCCAUGCAUCAUCAUGUGGAUAUUCCUUUAGUGCCGUGAUCCUACCAAAUUUAAAUCAAAUAAACUAUAAAGUAUAAACAUAUUAAAUUGACCAAAUAUCAAUCAUAAAUCAUUAAUCACAACAUUAAAUAAUUUUAUUAAAACAUAACUAGUCAUAUUUUAUCAUCAUAAAUAUGUUACAUGCAUAAAAGAAGUAUUAAAAUCAUUAGAUACACUAAUUACACGAUUAACAUAGUUAAUUUUUUACUAAUUACUUCUUUUUCAACACUAUAAACAUGACAAACACCCUAAUAGGUAUUAAAGAUAUUGGAUUGACAAAAAUCGAACAAAUUUCGAUUAAAUCAUCAUUAAAAUGACUAAUCGUAAUAUUAAAUAACUUUAAUAAAACAUAAUUAAACUUAUUUUACCAUCAUAUAUAUGUUAAACACAUAAAAGAAACAUUAAAUAUGUAAUUUUAAUCCAAUAUGAUUCAAAUUAUGAUAAAAUCAUCAUUUAUCUACACUAAUUAUACGAUUAAUAUAGUUAAUUUUUCACUAAUUACUUCUUUUUCAACACUAUAAACAUGAUAAACACCCUAAUAGGUAUUAAAGAUAUUGGAUUGACAUAAAAUUGAACAAAUUUCGAUUAAAUCAUCAUUAAAAUGACUAAUCGUAAUAUUAAAUAACUUUAAUAAAACAUAAUUAAACUUAUUUUACCAUCAUAUAUAUGUUAAACACAUAAAAGAAACAUUAAAUAUGUAAUUUUAAUCCAAUAUGAUUCAAAUUAUGAUAAAAUCAUCAUUUAUCUACACUAAUUAUACGAUUAAUAUAGUUAAUUUUUCACUAAUUACUUCUCUUUCACAAAUAUAAACAUUACAAAUACCCUAAUAGGUAUUAAAGACAUUGAAUUGAUAUAAAAUCGAAUAAAUUUCGAUUAAAUCAUCAUUAAAAUGACUAAUUAUAGCAUUAAAUAACUUUAAUAAAACUUAAUUAAACUUAUUAUACUAUCAUAAAUAUUAUUCAAUAUUUAAUAUGCAUGAAACACACUAAUCAUAAUCUUAAAGAUCUUAAUUACUUUCUAAUUAAAGAAAACGAAUACAUACCUCUUGAUUAGAAAGUUCUUCAUCUUAAUCUUCCCAAAUUAGCCUCGAUUGAAUUCACAAAUCGUUGUUUUAUAGAGUUUAAGAGAGAAAAAAAAAGUGAGAGAGAGUUUAAGAGAUUAUAAUGAAAUAGGGGAGAGUAUAACGAAUACAUAACUGCUACAGUGCGGUAACGGUCGAUUUCGAUCGUUACCGAGUGGUACCGGGCGGUAACGAUCGAAAUUUCGAUCGUUACCGCCCGAUAUUACCCCGUAUCGAAUGAUACCGCCCGAUAGAAUUUCGACCGUUACCGCCCGAUAUUACCCCGUAUCGAAUGAUACCGCCCGAUAGCGGUCGGUCCACGUAUCGGUAGCCUGUCGGACCGGUACGUACCGCCCGUACCGAGUGGUACGAUUCGGUAUGGCAGACCUUGGACACGAGUGAAGUAUGCCUUCCAAGUUAAAUGGCUAGUUUCCACUUGGAAAUGUCUACCUUGUCAUAGUUUAAGCUUGAACUUUUAAAUUCUCCAUGAGAAAAAUUCUAGAUGAUAGUCGGGAGAUAUCGACAUGCAUCUUGUGGCAUCUUAAAGAAUCAUGAAACACCAAAUUACAUUAUUCGUGCUGGCGUUGGUUAUCUUCAGAAAAGAACAUUUUCAUGUAUAGUUUGGAUCUUCUUAGCAAUUACUUUUACAUUUCAUAAACAGUAGCAUGGAUACAAAUCUACCUUAGAACUUCUAAGUUUAAUUUUGGCUAUUUCUGCUUUUUGAUAAAUAAUUGCUUGAUUCUUUCAUUUUCCUUUUGAACUGGAAUUACUCAACUAAACUUGUGUCUGAUAUUCCCUCUUUUAAAACAGAUAUCUUACUUUAGCUAUGGCUUUUUUAUUUCUUGGUUAGUAUUUAGCCUCCAAUGGCAAUUCUUUUAUCUGCUAGGAAUACAUUUAAAGGCGGCUUUCCUGCUGGGAGGCUUGAUGUGUGAAAAUGAUGAAAAAGCAAAAUGGCAAACAUUGAUAACAUUCCAAACAAGUAUGACUUGUUAGCUAUAUUUGAUGAUUGGUAAAUUUAAAGAUCGGUUGACUGAAAAGCCAUAAUGAUAAUAAGAAUAAUAAUAAGUCGUAGAACUUCUGGUGAGGAGCUUGAACAAUAGAGUUUUGCCAUAGUUGGAUGGAUAUGUAUUAUUGAUCUCAGAGCAUCUUUUAGAAAAAUAAAAAAAGGAGACUUUUUCAUUUUAUAUGUUGACUUGUAUGAACUUGCCAUCGGGUUCAUCAAAUGCUUUCACGUCAGGUUGACAAUCAGCAAGGAGACGUUUUCAUCUGCGUCGAAGAUAUAUUUUGCUUUGGAUGUUCAAGGAAUAUGGAACCUGCUGGUCUCCCAUAAAGUUCAGAUUCAUGGGUCAGAUAUUAUCUAAAAGAUGACACUUGUGGGGUUCAAUAUCUGUCUCUACUUUAUCCGAAAGAUGCCUACUUUGUGAAUUUGGGAUAUGCUAAUCAAAGGAAGCACGAAACAACAAAAUCAAAAGCAGGCACUAUGCCCACUAUUAUGAAGUUUCUGAAGCUCUCGGUGCCGUUUAACUGUUUUUGUGUUCAAGUAAACUUGUUGAUGUCUGAGAAGAUGUGUGUGUGUAUGUAAUUGUAUAGUCAUUCAUAGUGGGGUGCAGCUGAAUUCUUGUUAGGAAACGCUAAACUCAUUGUUCAUCUCUGAUAACCUAAAUGAAAAGCUUCAUGAGUUGAAUUA